UUUUCUGGUUGAUCCUGCCAGAGGUCACUGCUAUCGGGGUUCGAUUAAGCCAUGCGAGUCGAGAGGGUUCGGCCCUCGGCGUACUGCUCAGUAACACGUGGAUAACCUGCCCUAGGGAAGGGGAUAACCCCGGGAAACUGGGGAUAAUACCCUAUAGGUUACAGAUGCUGGAAUGCUCUGUAACCCAAAGUUCCGGCGCCCUAGGAUGGAUCUGCGGCCGAUUAGGUUGUUGUUGGGGUAAUGGCCCAACAAGCCAGUAAUCGGUACGGGUUGUGGGAGCAAGAGCCCGGAGUUGGAUUCUGAGACACGAAUCCAGGCCCUACGGGGCGCAGCAGGCGCGAAAACUUUACAAUGCGGGCAACCGUGAUAAGGGAACCUCGAGUGCCUGUAAAUGCAGGCUGUUUAGGUGUUUAAAACGCACCUGGAGAAAGGGCCGGGCAAGACCGGUGCCAGCCGCCGCGGUAAUACCGGCGGCUCGAGUGGUGGCCACUUUUAUUGGGCUUAAAGCGUUCGUAGCUGGGUUGUUAAGUCCCUUGGGAAAUCUGGCGGCUUAACCGUCAGGCGUCUAAGGGAUACUGGCAAUCUUGGAACCGGGAGAGGUGAGGGGUACUUCGGGGGUAGGAGUGAAGUCCUGUAAUCCUCGAGGGACCACCUGUGGCGAAGGCGCCUCACCAGAACGGCUUCGACAGUGAGGGACGAAAGCUGGGGGAGCAAACCGGAUUAGAUACCCGGGUAGUCCCAGCCGUAAACUAUGCGCGUUAGGUGUAUCGGUGACCACGAGUUACCGAGGUGCCGAAGGGAAACCGUGAAACGUGCCGCCUGGGAAGUACGGUCGCAAGGCUGAAACUUAAAGGAAUUGGCGGG
rnacentral:rRNA from 1 species